CACGAUGGUAUCCACAGUUGUGCCUGUCUGGAAUGUGCUGGAGGGCCAUAUUCCCUGUGACCAGGGGCACCGCAAUGGUGUGCAAAGUUGUGCCUGUCUGGAACAAGUCUGAGCAGUGUGUUCCCAGGUACUAGAGACCCUGCAAUGGCAUCCACAGAUGUGCCUGUUUGGAAAGGGCUCGAGUGGCAUAUUCUCCACUGUGAGGGACCCUGUGAUGGGUCCACAGGUGUGCCUGUCUGGAACAGGCUGGAGAGAAGUGUUCCCCAUGAUGAGGGACCAUGUGAAAGUGUCCAAAGGUUUGUCCAUCUGGAAUGGGCUUGAGUGGUGUGUUCCCCAUGUUGAGGGACCUCGCAAUGGUGUCCACAAUUGCACCUCUCUGGAAGGGGCUGGCUAAGCAUUUUCCCCACAACAAGGGACUGAGCGAAUGCAUCCACUGGUAUGCCUGUCUGGAAUGGGCUGGAGCAGGAUGUUACCCACAACGAACGACACUGCACUAUUGUUGACAGAUGUGCCUAUCUUGAAAGGGGCUGAAAUAGCAUGUUCCUUGCGACAAGGGACCCCGUGAUGGUGUCCAAAGAUUUUCCUGUCUGAAAUGGCAUGGAAUCUGCAUGUGCCUCACGACGAGAGAUGCCUCGAUGUUGUCUACAGGUGUGCCUUUCUUGAAAAGGCUGUAUCAAUGUGUUCCCUGCAUUGAGGGACCCUGCCACGUUGUCCACAAGUUUGCCUCUCUGGAAUUGGGUGGAUCGGUGUGUUCCCCACAACAAGAGAAACCAUGAUGUCAUCCACAGGUGUGCCUCUCUGGAAUGGGUUGGAUUGGUGUGUUCUCUGUGAUGAGGGAAAUCACGAUGGUGUCCACAGUUGUGCCUGUCUGGAAUGGACUGGAAGGGAGUGUUCCCCAUGAUGAGGGUCCCCACAAUGCCAUCCACAGUUGUGCCUGUCUGGAAUGGGCUGGAGCAGUGUGUUCCCUUCGAGGAGGGACCUUGUGAUGGCGUUCACAUUUUUGCCUGUCUGGAAGGGCCUGGAUCAGCGUUUUCCCCAUGACGAGGGACCCCACAAUGGAAUCCACAUGUGUGGCUCUCUGGAAGGGGCUGGAGCAGCAUGUUCCCAACAAUGAGGGGCCCCGUCCUGUCAUCAACAGGUGUGCCCAUCUGGAAAGGGCUAGAGUGGCAUGUUCCCUGCAACAAGGGACUACACGACAGCGUCCAAAGAUUUGCCUGUCUGGAAUGGCAUGGAUCGGUGUGUGCCCUGAGAUGAGAGAAAUGAUGACAGUGUCCACAGUUGUGCCUUUCUGAAACGGGCUGUAUCUAUGUGUUCUCUGCAUCAAGGGACCCUGCCACGUCCACAUGUUUGCCUGUCUGGAACAGGAUGGAGCAUUGUGUGGCCCACAAUGAGGGAACCCGUGACAACGCCCACAUGUGUGCCUGUCUGGAACAUGAUGGACCAGCGAUUUCCCAUGAUAAGGGUCCCCGCAAUGUGUACACCGGUGUGCCUGUCUGGAAUGGGCAGGGUCAGUGUGUUCUCAGUGACAGAGAAGCCACAAUGGCAUCCAUAAGUGUGCCUUUCUGCAAAAGGCUGUAUCUGCAUGUUCCCCGUGUCAAAGGACACCACCACAGUGUCCACAGGUUUGCCUUUCUGGAACUGUCUGGAGGGGGAGUGUUCCCCCAUGACCCAUGACCAUGUGCUGGUGUCCACAGGUGUGCCUGUCUGGAAUGGGCUGGAGCAGACUGUUCCACAUGAUGAGUGAUCCAGUGGCAUCAUCCACAGAUGUGGCUGUCUGGAAAGGGCUGGAGCAGGACGUUCCUGGCAACAAGGGACCCCAUGACAGUGUCCACAGGUUUGCCUGUUUGGAAUGGGGUGGAUAGGCAUUUUCCCCAUGACAAGAGAAGCCACGGUGGCAUCCACAGGUGUGCCUUUCUGGAGCAGGCUGUAUCUGCAUAUUCCCCAUGUCAAGG
rnacentral:lncRNA from 1 species